UUUUUUUUUUUUUUUUUUUUUUUUUUUUUUUUUUUUUUUAAUCAAUGAAUAUGUAUUAUAAUAUGUAUGUUAACUUCCAAUCGAAUAUAUAAAAUUGAAAGCAAAAAGAAAUG
rnacentral:ribozyme from 13 species